UACAGAGGUGGCAAGCGUUGUUCGGAAUUACUGGGCGUAAAGGGCGCGUAGGCGGCCUUCUAAGUCGGACGUGAAAGCCCCAGGCUUAACCUGGGAACUGCGUCCGAUACUGGGAGGCUUGGAUUCGGGAGAGGGAUGUGGAAUUCCAGGUGUAGCGGUGAAAUGGCGUAGAUAUCUGGAGGAACACCGGUGGCGAAGGCGGCAUCCUGGACCGAGAUCGACGCUGAGGCGCGAAAGCUAGGGGAGCAAACGGG
rnacentral:rRNA from 1 species